UAUAAAAAUAAGUGCUGGUGGUAGAAAG
rnacentral:piRNA from 1 species